rnacentral:rRNA from 1 species
AACGAACGCUGGCGGCAGGCUUAACACAUGCAAGUCGAACGCCCCGCAAGGGGAGUGGCAGACGGGUGAGUAACACGUGGGAAUCUACCCAAUUCUUCGGAACAACUGAGGGAAACUUCAGCUAAUACCGGAUGUGCCCUUCGGGGGAAAGAUUUAUCGGAAUUGGAUGAGCCCGCGUUGGAUUAGCUAGUUGGUGGGGU